UGUGAAGGCCCUGGGUUCCAUCCCCAGUACCCAAAACAAACAAAAAAGCAGAAGACACAGAGGCACAGCGUCCACGUCCGCCCCGGAGCCGUGUGGGCCGGGUUGCUGGGGUCCGGGCAGGCGACCUUGGUAUCUGAGCUGAGCCUCCCGGGACAGUUUGGACUCCACCCACAGCACCUGGCCCCGGCUCCCAGCCUCNNNNNNNNNNNNNNNNNNCCCCCGCUCCCAGCCUCUCCCACAGGAAGUGACGAGGACGACUGAGGAUGAGCCAUGCCUGUGUUCGCGGUGGGAGUGCGCAGGCUGGGCCUGCAUGAGGAAGACGUCAGAGACCUGGGGGCCCCAGAGCUGGCAGGCCCUGGCUUGCUCAGCCUUCUCUUGGAGUUCUGCCUUAAUUUCUUCAGUCACUCCAAGGAAACGGACCCCAAUUCAGCUGAGCAGCAGAACGCCUCGACAGGCAAACUAACCACGCCGCUUGUAAGAUGUCCCAGCCUACAGCACUCUGCGUUCCAAGGCUCUUGGCCAAGGCCAAGGCCUCGUCUCCUGAUGCGAACUCCAGGUCGUCAGAGCAAUCCUGAAACCCUCUCUGCGGGUCAGCCUGCCUACGCACUGCACAGCUUCACCGAGAGACGUUACAUUCUCUGUUUUUUUGUCUAGAG
rnacentral:lncRNA from 1 species